rnacentral:lncRNA from 1 species
CUGAAUGAGAGUUCAAGUUACCAGGUUGUUCCUUGCAAACUAACAGGAGACAUUGAGUGGGAAGUAUACAGUACACCUGCCAUGUUCAGAGUGUGAUGAACUGAGUUCAUCUCUUGAGUGUCACCAGAAGUGUCAUGUGUACAAAGCCAUAGUAUUGAUUGGGUUGAGGACUCGGUGGUGAAAUGGACAUCUAAGACAUACAAUCUCUGAACAUGGAUUGCUGGAAACACCCUCUGUACAUGUAAGGACCACCAAUUGUGAGUAAAGCACAGAGUAAAUUGUGUAGUGUAAACACAGUGUCAAGACAUUUGAAAAAGACAGUGAAUUCUUGUGAGUACAGAAAAUCCGCUUAGUGUUUAUCAUUCGUGAAAUCUACAGAGUUAUAUUUUCUUGAGACAUUCUCGUCAAGUACCAUCAAGUAUUUUAUUUUGAGCAUUGCUAUGAGUACUGUGUGAAUUGAAACCUUGUAGUGUUGUCUUUAGAGAUACUUAAUCUGCUGAGUGAGUCACCCAUACUAUUACUGGCUUUAAAUUUUUUUUGGGUGAGUAUCCAUUUAAAAGGUAUCCGAGGCAUUUAUGUGUUAACGUUUACCUCCUUUGCUCUGGAAGGGUGUUAAUUGAAUUUAUCUUUGGUGGGGUUGUUUUGUGGAAGAUUUGUUGUGACAUCAGCGCACGAUGAUCACAGUAGUUGUGAAUAAGUUACAACUUAUGUGUGAGUUCCGAGAACUUGCCAAAGCCAUGGAGGCCAGCAUUCAUCGGCGGGGAACGCCGAAGGCUCGGAGGGGUAGUGAGAAAAUCAAGUUUAGAGAUUUUCCAUCGGGAUCAGAACCUGAUGAAAGGAAAACUGCCGGUGAGGCUGAGGAAGCUAGUUGUUAUCAUCGGUACUAGACUUCGGGUGAGAAAGGAGGAAAUCAGUGAUUUGAAUAGAUCUUUUGUUAAGUAUGCUUAGACUUAUCCAACUUAGAUAAAUUAGUAGAGAGAGUGUCAAGCAAUGAAUAGUAUUCUACCUUAGACUUGAAAGACGCAUAUGAUUAAAGUAAUACUUAACGACAAAAGUCGAGACCUAACCACAUUUAGUGAUGGAAUAUAACUUAUGAAGGUUUACACGCUUAUCUUUUGGGUUUUUUCAACCAGUCCCGUUAUUCUUUUUAUUAUUUUUACCAGAGAAGUAAACCAAGUAGUAACCCCUUUUGCAGCGAAGAACCGAGUUGAAUGUAACUACCCCGAUAAUGUCAUAGUGUGGACUAAUGAUUUUUCAACCUUGUCAGACAGGUUAGCUAGAGUAUUGAGAAAGUCCUUCCAGUGUUUCCCCUUUCAUACAAUUGCCAGUGGGAAGGUGUAGUUGUGCAGUUUUGAUUGGUACAGGCGGUGCAGUGCAGUUGGUUUCUUUAAGUUUUGUUAGUACUUUAGGCGUAGGGCCCCUUAGGCCUUGUAAGUACCCAAUAUGAAGAUGUUACCGGAGAUGAGCUGAAUGUGAAAAGCACUGUAGUAGUAAAAGUAAAUGCUACCACCUGAUGAUUCUGCCGUCAAGGGCAUCUACAUCUUGUUGAGAUGUGUUAAUGAUGAACAUCAACUGUUGGCUUCGCCAGUCAAGUGGCCAGAGUGACCCUGUUGGGGGAGGGAUUGUCAGUAUGUACCAUGGACAAGAGGAAUGAGUAGAUGUGUCUUACUGCAGUGAGAACAUCGUUUGGUGUGAGUGAUCAAGUUGCUUGGAGGUCCUAUCUGCAGUAGGCCUGGGUUAAUGUAGGAGGUAGUUGGGCUGGACUUUAGUCACGGCUAGGCGUGUACAAGAGUACAUGGGCCUAGUGCAGUUUAAGAAGCUUGCAUUGCAAAGUAACAGAAGGGCACUGAGGUUUUGGGGGUUUCAUGGGGACCGGGUCGCUGGCAUUAAAGUCUAUUUGAGUCCAUACUCUGGCCAUUCCGAUCUUGCCUCAUCCCGCGAGUGGAGAAUGGUUCUUUUGUGAUAAGGUCAACCCAAAUACUUCAGUGGCUGGAUGGGGUCAGUCUAACUAUUCCUAGCUUGAGAUCUCAAUUGUUGAAUUUUGAAGCUUGGGUCCAGUGUCAUCCUAGUGGAUGUUGUAGUUGAAAGUGUCCUACAAAGCUACCUGUCAUCCUAGUGGAUGUUGUAGUUGAAAGUGUCCUACAAAGCUACCUGUCAUCCUAGUGGAUGUUGUAGUUGAAAGUGUCCUACAAAGCUACCUGUCAUCCUAGUGGAUGUUGUAGUUGAAAGUGUCCUACAAAGCUACCUGUCAUCCUAGUGGAUGUUGUAGUUAAAAGUGUUAUACAUGUCUGAUCAAUUGCCAAGAUGGAAACUACCUGCCGUCCUGGUGGAUGGUGCAGUUAAAAGUGUACAAAACUGUAAUUCAGGCCGGCCUGUUAUUUUUAUUAUUAUGUUCUGUAAUAUUGAUGUAUGAUUAUGUUCUUCUGUGUGCCAUAACAAGUGGUGCUGUGUUCAUUUUAUCUGCCCUGGCUGGGAGUUUGUGUGAUUAGUCAACUGAGUUGCAAAAUUUUAUGUAUGUGAAAAUUAUGUAACCAUGUGUGUUGCCUGUAUUGAUGACCAUUACCCCAGUAUUGCAAGAUAUUGUGUUUUGAAAAUUAUGUAUUUACUGUGAAUGUUUUGUCGACUAUACCGCAUAAUAUUGAAUCUUGGGGAGGGGAAAGCUUUGUAAAGACCACGGUCGUACACGUCAGUUAACGCCAAAAUCAAAUGAUUCAUAUUACGCUC